UCAUUUUCUGAAUCUGAGAGGCGUUCAGGACACUGGGGAGGAGACAACAAGGAAGACAACACUUGUCCAUCUGCGGUACCCAUGGAAAUUUCCCUAUGAUUACAGAGAAGAUAUAAGAAUGAUCCCCUUAAAUAAUUAGGAGGUAUGCUACUAUUUACUAUCAGAAGUUAUCUGUUACCCCAUCUGAGUCAUCUUUCCCAGAGCCAAGCAACACUUUUGGAAC